rnacentral:rRNA from 1 species
UACGUAGGUGGCAAGCGUUGUCCGGAUUUACUGGGCGUAAAGGGCGUGCAGCCGGGCUGACAAGUCAGAUGUGAAAUCCCGCGGCUCAACCGCGGAACUGCAUUUGAAACUGUCAGUCUUGAGUACCGGAGAGGUCAUCGGAAUUCCUUGUGUAGCGGUGAAAUGCGUAGAUAUAAGGAAGAACACCAGUGGCGAAGGCGGAUGACUGGACGGCAACUGACGGUGAGGCGCGAAAGCGUGGGGAGCAAACAGG